rnacentral:rRNA from 1 species
AUUGAACGCUGGCGGCAUGCCUUACACAUGCAAGUCGAACGGCAGCACGGGUGCUUGCACCUGGUGGCGAGUGGCGAACGGGUGAGUAAUAUAUCGGAACGUACCUUAUUGUGGGGGAUAACGCAGCGAAAGCUGUGCUAAUACCGCAUAAUCCCUUAGGGGGAAAGCGGGGGACCGUAAGGCCUCGCGCAAUUAGAGCGGCCGAUACCUGAUUAGCUAGUUGGUGAGGUAAAGGCUCACCAAGGCGACGAUCAGUAGCUGGUCUGAGAGGACGAUCAGCCACACUGGGACUGAGACACGGCCCAGACUCCUACGGGAGGCAGCAGCGGGGAAUUUUGGACAAUGGGGGCAACCCUGAUCCAGCAAUGCCGCGUGAGUGAAGAAGGCCUUCGGGUUGUAAAGCUCUUUUGUCAGGGAAGAAACAGCAGCUCUAACACAGUAUGCGAAUGACGGUACCUGAAGAAUAAGCACCGGUUAACUACGUGCCAGCAGCCGCCGUAA